AGAUUGAACGCUGGCGGCGUGCCUAACACAUGCAAGUCGAGCGGUAAGGCUCCUUCGGGAGUACACGAGCGGCGAACGGGUGAGUAACACGUGAGCAAUCUGCCCUUCACAUCGGAAUAACUUCGGGAAACCGAAGCUAAUACCGGAUACGACCACCGAGGGCAUCUUCGGUGGUGGAAAGUUCCGGCGGUGAAGGAUGAGCUCGCGGCCUAUCAGCUAGUUGGUGAGGUAAUGGCUCACCAAGGCGACGACGGGUAGCCGGCCUGAGAGGGUGACCGGCCACACUGGGACUGAGACACGGCCCAGACUCCUACGGGAGGCAGCAGUGGGGAAUAUUGGACAAUGGGCGAAAGCCUGAUCCAGCAACGCCGCGUGAGGGAUGACGGCCUUCGGGUUGUAAACCUCUUUCAGCAGGGACGAAGCGAAAGUGACGGUACCUGCAGAAGAAGCACCGGCCAACUACGUGCCAGCAGCCGC
rnacentral:rRNA from 1 species